GAUAAACGCUGGCGGCGCACAUAAGACAUGCAAGUCGAACGGACUUAAUCGAAAUAUUUAUAUUUUGAAGCGGUUAGUGGCGGACUGGUGAGUAACGCGUAAGGAACCUACCUAUUAGAGGGGAAUAACAGUGAGAAAUCAUUGCUAAUACCGCAUAUGCCAUAGAUAUCACAUGAUAACAGUGGGAAAGGAGCAAUCCGCUAAUAGAUGGCCUUGCGUCUGAUUAGAUAGUUGGCGGGGUAACGGCCCACCAAGGCGACGAUCAGUAGGGGUUCUGAGAGGAAGGUCCCCCACAUUGGAACUGAGACACGGUCCAA
rnacentral:rRNA from 1 species